GGGCUUCCCUGGUGGCUCAGUGGUAAAGAAUCUGCCUGCAAUGCAGGAGACUCGGGUUCAGUCCCUGGGUCGGGAAGAUCCCCUGGAGAAGGGAAUGGCAACCCACUCCAGUAUUCUCGCCUGGAGAAUUCCAUGGACAGAGGAGCCUGG